rnacentral:rRNA from 1 species
ACUAACGCUGGCGGCGCGUCUUAAACAUGCAAGUCGAGCGGGGUAGCAAUACCUAGCGGCGAACGGGUGAGUAACACGUGGGUAAUCUUCCUCCGAGUCUGGGAUAACUUUCCGAAAGGAAAGCUAAUACCGGAUAGUCCUACUGGAUCACAGGAUCUGAUAGGUAAAGAUUUAUUGCUUGGAGAUGAGCCCGCGGCCGAUUAGCUAGUUGGUGAGGUAAUGGCUCACCAAGGCGACGAUCGGUAGCCGGCCUGAGAGGGUGUCCGGCCACAAUGGAACUGAGACACG